CUCCUGCCCGAGGACAAUCACUCAAUAAAAAACAACCACCGACUAGUUCGGUUUCGUCCAGACACGUGUACGAACGUGCCUUCAGUGCUGCAAUGUCAUCUUUGGACAACUCCAAAUGCCUCACGCUGUGCAAGACCUGCUACAGGCAAUUCAAACACAAGACACGUUGAAGUAUUCGUAACUCAAGAUCAUACCACAGCUUUGUUUAUCGGCGGUUUUGACGGCUACUGGACCCUGACGCUUUCCGAACGCCUCCUUCAACUUAGCGGCGACCAACUUUCCAUCAGAAUCCAUCUACAGGAGAACACAGUGACGUUUAGUAACUUCUUUAUACAACUGCUUGCUGGUUGUCUGCAU